GUGUGGGGCGGGAGCGGACAACGGAGACCAGACCUACUGCAGCCACGCGGGCGAGCGGCUGUGUGGAUGUCGGCGAAGCCGCGGGCGAGAAUCUCACUGUGUCACCCAGACUGGAGUGUAGUGGUGCAAUCUCGGCUAACUGCAACCUCAACCUCCCAGGCUCAAGCAAUCCUCUCACCUCAGCCUCCCUAGUAGCUGGGACUACAGGAUGCCUGGGGCGUGGGGGGCAGAAUGUCAGCCGGCAAAGUGGGGACCGGAGUACCCGGGAAGCUGGGAUGAAGGAGCCUCCUCUGCAGGUAGGGACAGGGCCCUCUGAAGCCGGGGAGGGGACGGGGAAAUGGGGAAGGGACCACAGUGGAGUCUCUCCAGUUGUGCUUAGAGACCACCUGCCUU
rnacentral:lncRNA from 10 species